rnacentral:rRNA from 1 species
GACGAACGCUGGCGGCGUGCUUAACACAUGCAAGUCGAACGGAAAGGCCCUGCUUUUGUGGGGUGCUCGAGUGGCGAACGGGUGAGUAACACGUGAGUAACCUGCCCUUGACUUUGGGAUAACUUCAGGAAACUGGGGCUAAUACCGGAUAGGAGCUCCUGCUGCAUGGUGGGGGUUGGAAAGUUUCGGCGGUUGGGGAUGGACUCGCGGCUUAUCAGAUUGUUGGUGGGGUAGUGGCUUACCAAGGCUUUGACGGGUAGCCGGCCUGAGAGGGUGACCGGCCAUAUUGGGACUGAGAUACGGCCCAGACUCCUACGGGAGGCAGCAGUGGGGAAUAUUGCACAAUGGGCGGAAGCCUGAUGCAGCAACGCCGCGUGCGGGAUGACGGCCUUCGGGUUGUAAACCGCUUUCGCCUGUGACGAAGCGUGAGUGACGGUAAUGGGUAAAGAAGCACCGGCUAACUACGUG